CCCAUCUGUAUCUGUAUCUCCAGUGUGGAGCAGCUGGUGGCAGCCAAGCCCCCAUUCAGCUCUCUACUCUGGGAAUUCAUGAGGAACGUCUACCCUGGAGGGAUCAGCUGCAUCGUCAGCAAGGGAGACUGGCUACUCAGACUGGGUGUGGGUCCGGCCUACGACCGUGGGGACCAAUGAUAGCAUCAUGAUCCGAGUCCCUGACCACACCGUCACAGGACACCUGUGUGACAUCACCGGACCACUUGCCAUCACCUCAGCCAAUCCCAGUGGAGAACCCGACAGCACGCACCACGACAUGGUCAUCAGUCGGCUUGGCCAUAAGAUCCAGGGGGUUCUGUGUGUGGGG